rnacentral:lncRNA from 1 species
CAUUAUUUACAGUAAAAAAAAAAAAAAGAAAGUAUAUCGAACAUGUAGAGCAUACAGUUGCAGAUAAUCAGGAUGUAGUGAUAUAGAAGAAAGUGUAGGCUAGAAAUAGAUAAAGUUAAAGAAUACAUUGCAGGGUGUCCCAGAAAAAAAAUAUUUUUGAAUUCAACAUUGUGCACUAUGUAAAUCCUCCUUAUUUGGUCCCAGUAGACCACCAUAAAAAUAUCUGGGCUCAAAGUCACUGUUUAGCUGAAGAAGUAUAGAUACUAAUAUUAAAUAUGGCUAGUGCAGGAUAUGUUGGAAAAGCUAAUGGAAGAAGAAGUCUUUAUUUGUUGGGGUACCCUCUUAAAAUAUUUUCUCCAAAUAGACUGGUGGGGAAGUUUGUCGAAGAAUUUACUGGUUUAAUCGGACUUAUUCAACUGCAAUCAAACAUUGUCCUCCAAAAUUGGAUGUUCUCUAGCGAGUACAAACAAGCUUAAAUGCAGUGGUAGUAUGUGUUAUGCUGAUAACAGAAACGAAAUAUCAAAUGUGUGCAUCAUAAGAGAGUGCUUUGUUCCAAAUGUGUGCAUCAUAACAUUUGGAACAAAGCAGGCUUUGAUGAAAAUUUUAUCAUCAUUGAACGGUUGAACAGUCUAAAACAUCUUCUUCAGUUAAA